GACGUAGGGCGCGAGCGUUGUCCGGAUUUAUUGGGCGUAAAGAGCUCGUAGGCGGCUUGUCGCGUCAACUGUGAAAACCCGUGGCUCAACUGCGGGUCUGCAGCCGAUACGGGCUAGCUAGAGUUCGGUAGGGGAGACUGGAAUUCCUGGUGUAGCGGUGAAAUGCGCAGAUAUCAGGAGGAACACCGGUGGCGAAGGCGGGUCUCUGGGCCGAUACUGACGCUGAGGAGCGAAAGCGUGGGGAGCGAACAGG
rnacentral:rRNA from 1 species